GGGCCAUUAGCUCAGUGGUUAGAGCAGGGGACUCAUAAUCCCUUGGUCCUUGGUUCAAGUCCAAGAUGGCCCA
rnacentral:tRNA from 1 species